AUACGUAGGGGCCAAACGUUGUCCGGAUUUAUUGGGCGUAAAGGGCGGGCAGGCGGUCUACUCAGUCUUCUGUGAAAAUCCGGGGCUCAACCCCGCGAAAUGCAGAAGAUACUGGCAGACUGGAGACCGGUAGAGGCUAGCGGAAUUCCUGGUGUAGCGGUGGAAUGCGUAGAUAUCAGGAAGAACACCUGUGGCGAAGGCGGCUAGCUGGGCCGGAUCUGACGCUGAUCCGCGAAAGCGUGGGGAGCAAACAGGAUUAGAAACCCCAGUAGUCC
rnacentral:rRNA from 1 species